GAUGAGAAAGCCUUUUGUUUUUCUGUCAUCUGGAUUAAGCAGCAGUGUAUUGAUGCUUUGUUGUUAGUUGUAUAAUAGAAUCAGAACCAGUAAAUGUGCCAGGCCAGUGCCUUCUUAUCAUUAUUAAUGUUCAGCUGGAAAUGGAUGAAUCUUUAUGAGGGUUUUUUUUUAUUGCAUACCUACAGUCUUUAUUGCACAUAUCCACCUUAAUAUACUUAUAUUGUUCAGUUCUCAAACAUUGUGAACUAUGCUGCUGUUGAUCUUUCUGUGUCCUUCCAGGCAUGCCAUGAAAAUGUAAUAAUUAUGCAAUGCUGACAAUUUUAUCAGCAUGAAUUUCAGCACAACAUGUCUUUGCUAGCGAUGACCUCUAACAAACAAAAUUUAGCGUUCUUAUUGAAAUACAAAACAGAGCCAUCACAUUUUUCAAUAUAAAUUUGAGUGGAGGACACUCAGAUUUAACAGAAUCUUAACCAUCCAUCUUUUUUUUUCUGAACAUUUUUCAAUAUAAAUUUGGGACUUUUUUUAGUUUUGCUUUGACUAUGGAUACUCCUUUUUUGAUUUUUUUGUUGUCAUUGGACUUAUGGAGUUAUGGACCUUAUAGCCAAUGUGGUUUCCUUUGAUAUUUAUAGCUAUUUGGUAGUUUCUUUUGCUAGAUUCUAUGCAAUGCUGUUUUUAUUUUUAUUCAAUAAUAGUCUAACUCUUCUUGGGGUAAGUUUUCUGAAUUCCUUGAAAGUAGAAGAUCUGACCUGUACCAAACCAGAAGUGAAGAGAUUGUAAGUUUUUCAGACAUUGCAGUGUGGUGAGUUAGUACCUCUCUUGUAUGCUCAGCAUGUUGUGGAGGUAAAAAAUGUUGAUGCUUGUAUGCAUAAGUUUCAGAAAUAUAUAGUACUUAUCAAAACCAAUUUUCUGGUAGAUGUCUGCAGCAGCAUUUGCCAAAGGGCUUCUUGAUUUGGAGGGUCAGUUAACUCCAAUUCUGGUUUCACUGGUUAGUAAAGACUCUUCUAUGCUGGAUGGACUAGAAGAUGCUAGCACUGAGAUGGAUGAAGCAAAGGGCCUGGUUGUUCUUCUAUUGGCUUUGGAGAGGCAGAGGAACUUGGACCUUGCUUAAUGCAAAAAGGUGUGCCAAGACUUUAACAGGGGACUUGCAACAAGGCAGAGAAAAUAGGGCUUGACUAUAUGAAUGUUGAAGCACUAAAAAAAUGAACAAAAACAAAAAGUUGGUCAAAAAGCUUGUUAAAAAGUACCAUGCUUUCCUAGCAUCAGAUGCGAUUAUGUAUAUUGACAUUUGUUCUAUGUCAAGCAGAUAGAAUUUUCGGGCUAUUCCAUAUGUAAAUUUGGAUGAUUUGACUUGUAUUCCUUGUCUUUGUAAAGAUUAAAUGCUUUUUGAAUAUUGCUGGUAUUAGAUGAAUGAACAAAUAACUUGUAUUCCUUAUGUUUAGCUUUUUGUAAAGAUUAAAUGCUUUUUUAAUGUCAAUGAUGUUGGGACAAA